CAACGGUUGGAUCUUCUGUUGUCUGGGUUUUAGUGAAGCUGGUCGUCACAGUUCUUCAGCGGGACAGUCUUGGGUGUUUGGUAAAUCCGACGGUGAGAUCUUCUAUUCUUGAGCUGAAAUUUGGCGGAGGUAUUGUUGACUUGCUUAUCUUGGAUUUGUACGGUUGGAUUAGUCUCUGGAUGCCGGAAUCCUUGUGAGCUGAGAUCGGUUGGUUGCUGCCGGUUUUGAAGCUUUGUGUUGCUCUCUUGUUGUUGUUGUUUGUGUUGGAGAUAGCUCUUUGUAGCUAGACUCUCUGUUCUGUUCAGGCUGUUGAACAGGG
rnacentral:lncRNA from 1 species